AGCCGCCUAGAGGCCCCAGCCGCCGAGCGCUUCGUCCCGGCCCUAAGUCUCGGAGACUGGCCAAGAUCACCGCUUGCACCGCGCUGUUGGGCGAGGCCCGGUCCCGUCUCUUUCCCAGGCCUGAGAUUCUCGCCCGGCACGGCCGCCCUGAGCGCCCCGGCCACCCCCAGCCCCGGCUCGCCCCUCAGGCCCCGGGCCUCCCCUCAACCCCCGGCCGGCGGCCCAGGCCCCGGAUCCGCGGGGGGGGACCCGGCCCCGGGGGGUGCGGGCCCCAUGGAGCUGAUGUUUGCAGAGUGGGAGGACGGAGAGCGCUUCUCAUUCGAGGAUUCGGACCGUUUUGAGGAGGAUUCACUCUGUUCCUUCAUCUCCGAGGCCGAGAGCCUCUGCCAGAACUGGCGGGGAUGGCGCAAACAGUCAGCGGGGCCCAAUUCCCCCACUGGCGGCGGUGGCGGAGGUGGCAGUGGCGGUACCAGAAUGCGAGAUGGACUGGUGAUCCCAUUGGUGGAGCUGUCAGCAAAGCAGGUGGCAUUUCAUAUCCCAUUUGAAGUGGUGGAGAAAGUUUACCCACCAGUGCCUGAGCAGCUACAGCUCCGAAUUGCUUUUUGGAGCUUCCCUGAGAAUGAAGAGGACAUUCGGCUGUAUUCGUGCCUGGCCAAUGGCAGUGCGGAUGAGUUUCAGCGAGGGGAUCAGCUCUUCCGCAUGCGGGCUGUGAAGGACCCAUUGCAGAUAGGGUUCCACCUGAGUGCUACAGUGGUGCCACCUCAGAUGGUCCCUCCUAAAGGGGCCUACAACGUGGCUGUGAUGUUUGACCGCUGCCGGGUCACUUCCUGCAGCUGUACCUGUGGGGCUGGGGCCAAAUGGUGCACCCACGUCGUGGCACUCUGUCUCUUCCGCAUCCACAACGCUUCUGCAGUCUGCCUGCGAGCCCCAGUCUCAGAGUCCCUGUCCCGGCUACAGAGGGACCAGCUGCAAAAGUUUGCUCAGUACCUCAUCAGUGAGCUCCCUCAGCAGAUCCUCCCCACAGCUCAGCGUCUCCUGGACGAACUCCUGUCUUCCCAGUCAACAGCCAUCAAUACAGUGUGUGGAGCUCCGGACCCCACAGCAGGGCCCUCAGCAUCGGACCAGAGUACUUGGUAUCUGGAUGAAUCGACACUCACUGACAACAUCAAAAAGACACUGCACAAGUUCUGUGGCCCCUCCCCUGUGGUCUUCAGUGAUGUGAACUCCAUGUAUCUGUCUUCCACGGAGCCGCCAGCCGCUGCUGAAUGGGCAUGUCUGCUGCGCCCUCUGAGGGGCCGUGAGCCAGAGGGCGUCUGGAACCUGCUAAGCAUUGUGCGGGAGAUGUUCAAGCGGAGGGACAGCAAUGCUGCCCCCUUGUUGGAAAUCCUCACUGACCAGUGCCUCACCUAUGAACAGAUAACAGGUUGGUGGUAUAGCGUACGUACCUCAGCCUCACACAGCAGUGCCAGUGGGCACACGGGCCGUAGCAACGGGCAGUCAGAGGUGGCAGCCCAUGCCUGUGCCAGCAUGUGUGACGAGAUGGUCACACUGUGGAGGCUGGCCGUGCUGGACCCUGCACUCAGCCCCCAGCGGCGCCGGGAACUGUGUACGCAGCUGCGGCAGUGGCAACUGAAGGUGAUUGAGAACGUCAAGCGGGGCCAACACAAGAAGACGCUGGAGCGGCUCUUCCCCGGCUUCCGGCCAGCGGUGGAGGCCUGCUACUUCAACUGGGAAGAGGCCUACCCACUUCCUGGUGUCACCUACAGCGGCACUGACAGGAAGCUGGCACUGUGCUGGGCCCGGGCCCUGCCCUCUCGGCCAGGUGCCUCCCGCUCUGGGGGCCUGGAGGAAUCCCGGGACCGGCCCCGACCCCUUCCUACUGAGCCAGCUGUGCGGCCCAAGGAGCCUGGGACCAAGCGAAAGGGCUUGGGUGAGGGGGUCCCCUCAUCACAGCGGGGUCCCCGCCGCCUCUCAGCUGAAGGGGGAGAUAAAGCUCUACAUAAGAUGGGUCCAGGUGGGGGCAAAGCCAAGGCACUGGGUGGGGCUGGCAGUGGGAGCAAGGGCUCAGCAGGUGGCGGAAGCAAGCGACGGCUGAGCAGCGAAGACAGCUCCCUGGAGCCAGACCUGGCCGAGAUGAGCCUGGAUGACAGCAGCCUGGCCCUGGGCGCAGAGGCCAGCACCUUCGGGGGAUUCCCUGAGAGCCCUCCACCCUGUCCUCUCCACGGUGGCUCCCGAGGCCCUUCCACUUUCCUUCCUGAGCCCCCAGAUACUUAUGAAGAAGAUGGUGGUGUGUACUUCUCGGAAGGGCCUGAGCCUCCCACAGCCUCUGUUGGCCCCCCUGGCCUACUGCCUGGGGAUGUCUGUACCCAGGACGACCUCCCUUCUACAGAUGAGAGUGGCAAUGGGCUUCCCAAAACCAAAGAGGCAGCCCCUGCAGUUGGAGAGGAGGAUGAUGACUACCAGGCGUACUAUCUGAAUGCCCAGGAUGGGGCUGGGGGCGAGGAAGAGAAGGCCGAGGGCGGGGCUGGGGAGGAGCACGACCUGUUUGCUGGGCUGAAGCCACUGGAACAGGAGAGUCGCAUGGAGGUACUGUUUGCCUGUGCUGAGGCCCUGCAUGCGCAUGGCUAUAGCAGUGAGGCCUCCCGUCUCACUGUGGAGCUUGCCCAGGAUCUGCUAGCCAACCCACCCGACCUCAAGGUAGAGCCGCCCCCUGCCAAGGGCAAGAAGAACAAGGUAUCCACGAGCCGUCAGACCUGGGUGGCUACCAACACCCUGAGCAAGGCGGCCUUCCUGUUGACAGUGCUAAGUGAGCGUCCAGAGCACCACAACCUGGCCUUCCGAGUUGGCAUGUUUGCCUUGGAGCUACAGAGGCCUCCAGCUUCUACCAAGGCCUUGGAGGUGAAGCUGGCAUACCAGGAGUCUGAGGUGGCUGCCCUGCUCAAGAAGAUCCCUCUGGGUCCAAGUGAGAUGAGUACCAUGCGGUGCCGGGCAGAGGAACUUCGGGAGGGGACACUCUGUGACUAUCGGCCUGUGUUGCCUCUCAUGCUGGCCAGUUUCAUCUUUGACGUUCUCUGUGCUCCAGUGGUUUCUCCCACAGGUUCCCGGCCCCCAAGUCGCAACUGGAACAGCGAGACACCUGGGGAUGAGGAGCUUGGAUUUGAAGCAGCAGUUGCUGCCUUGGGCAUGAAGACAACAGUGAGCGAGGCAGAACAUCCCCUCUUAUGUGAAGGCACACGUCGGGAGAAGGGUGACCUGGCAUUAGCACUAAUGAUCACUUACAAGGACGACCAGGCCAAGCUUAAGAAGCCUGGGCAACAGAGCGAGACCCUGUCUCUUAAAAAAAAAAGAAGAAGAAGAAAAAAAGAAAAGUGCUCUUCUGCCCAUAGGAGAUCUUAGACAAACUCUUGGACCGAGAGAGCCAGACACAUAAGCCACAGACGCUGAGUUCUUUCUACUCAUCUAGCCGCCCAACCACAGCCAGCCAGAGGUCUCCUUCAAAGCACGGGGGCCCAUCUGCCCCAGGGGCCCUGCAACCACUGACCUCAGGCUCUGCAGGGCCUGCUCAACCAGGGAGUGUGGCAGGGGCUGGGCCAGGCCCCACUGAGGGCUUCACAGAGAAGAAUGUGCCUGAGAGUUCCCCACAUUCCCCCUGUGAGGGUCUUCCAUCUGAGGCAGCUUUGACCCCAAGGCCAGAAGGGAAGGUUCCUAGCCGCUUGGCACUUGGCAGUCGUGGAGGCUAUAAUGGACGGGGAUGGGGGUCCCCAGGACGGCCUAAGAAGAAGCACACAGGCAUGGCCAGCAUUGACAGCAGUGCCCCUGAAACAACAUCGGAUAGUUCCCCCACCUUAAGCCGGAGACCACUUCGAGGGGGCUGGGCCCCCACCUCCUGGGGUCGAGGUCAGGACAGUGACAGCAUUAGCAGCUCUUCUUCGGACUCCCUGGGCUCCUCAUCCUCCAGUGGAAGUCGCCGGGCCAGUGCCAGUGGAGGAGCCCGGGCGAAGACUGUUGAAGUUGGCAGGUACAAGGGCCGCCGCCCCGAGAGUCAUGCCCCUCAUGUACCCAAUCAGCCAUCAGAGGCAGCUGCACACUUCUACUUCGAGCUGGCGAAGACAGUGCUGAUCAAGGCAGGGGGCAACAGCAGCACUUCCAUUUUCACACAUCCAUCUUCCUCAGGGGGCCACCAGGGUCCUCACCGCAACCUGCACCUUUGCGCCUUCGAGAUUGGGCUUUAUGCCCUUGGCCUGCACAACUUUGUUUCUCCCAACUGGCUCUCACGUACUUAUUCUUCCCACGUUUCCUGGAUUACAGGCCAGGCCAUGGAGAUAGGCAGCGCAGCCCUGACUAUACUGGUAGAAUGCUGGGAUGGGCACCUGACACCCCCUGAGGUUGCAUCCCUGGCUGACAGGGCAUCACGGGCAAGAGACUCCAAUAUGGUGAGGGCGGCAGCAGAGCUGGCCCUGAGCUGCCUGCCUCACGCCCAUGCAUUGAACCCUAAUGAGAUCCAGCGGGCCCUGGUGCAGUGCAAGGAACAGGACAACCUGAUGUUGGAGAAGGCCUGCAUGGCAGUGGAAGAGGCAGCUAAGGGUGGGGGCGUGUACCCUGAAGUGUUGUUUGAGGUUGCUCACCAGUGGUUCUGGCUGUAUGAGCAAACUGCAGGUGGCUCAUCCACAGCCCGUGAAGGGGCUACAAGCUGUAGUGCCAGUGGGAUCAGGGCAGGUGGGGAAGCUGGGCGGGGUAUGCCUGAGGGUAGAGGGGGCCCAGGGACUGAGCCGGUUACAGUGGCAGCGGCAGCAGUGACAGCAGCAGCCACAGUGGUGCCCGUCAUAUCGGUGGGGUCUAGUUUAUACCCGGGUCCAGGACUGGGGCAUGGCCACUCCCCUGGCCUGCACCCCUACACUGCUCUACAGCCCCACCUGCCCUGUAGCCCUCAGUAUCUCACUCACCCAGCUCACCCUGCCCACCCCAUGCCUCACAUGCCCCGGCCUGCCGUCUUCCCUGUGCCCAGCUCUGCAUACCCACAGGGUGUGCAUCCUGCAUUCCUAGGGGCUCAGUACCCUUAUUCAGUGACUCCUCCCUCACUUGCUGCCACUGCUGUGUCUUUCCCCGUUCCUUCCAUGGCACCCAUCACAGUACAUCCCUACCACACAGAGCCAGGGCUUCCACUGCCCACCAGUGUGGCCUUGAGCAGUGUCCAUCCAGCAUCCACGUUUCCAGCCAUCCAAGGUGCCUCACUGCCUGCCCUGACCACACAGCCCAGCCCUCUGGUGAGCGGAGGUUUUCCACCGCCCGAGGAGGAGACACACAGUCAGCCAGUCAAUCCCCACAGCCUGCACCACCUGCAUGCUGCCUACCGUGUCGGAAUGCUGGCACUGGAGAUGCUGGGUCGCCGGGCACACAACGAUCACCCCAACAACUUCUCCCGCUCCCCCCCCUACACUGAUGAUGUCAAAUGGUUGCUGGGGCUGGCAGCAAAGCUGGGAGUGAACUACGUGCACCAGUUCUGUGUGGGGGCAGCCAAGGGGGUGCUGAGCCCGUUUGUGCUGCAGGAGAUCGUCAUGGAGACGCUGCAGCGGCUGAGUCCCGCUCAUGCCCACAACCACCUGCGUGCCCCGGCCUUCCACCAACUGGUGCAGCGCUGCCAGCAGGCAUACAUGCAGUACAUCCACCACCGCUUGAUUCACCUGACUCCUGCGGACUACGACGACUUUGUGAAUGCGAUCCGGAGUGCCCGCAGCGCCUUCUGCCUGACGCCCAUGGGCAUGAUGCAGUUCAACGACAUCCUACAGAACCUCAAGCGCAGCAAACAGACCAAGGAGCUGUGGCAGCGGGUCUCACUCGAGAUGGCCACCUUCUCCCCCUGAGUCUUUCACCCUUAGGGUCCUAUACAGGGACCCAGGCCUGUGGCUAUGGGGGCCCCUCACACAGGGGGAGUGAAACUUGGCUGGACAGAUCAUCCUCACUCAGUUCCCUGGUAGCACAGACUGACAGCUGCUCUUGGGCUAUAGCUUGGGGCCAAGAUGUCUCACACCCUAGAAGCCUAGGGCUGGGGGAGACAGCCCUGUCUGGGAGGGGGCGUUGGGUGGCCUCUGGUAUUUAUUUGGCAUUUAUAAAUAUAUAAACUCCUUUUUUACUCUA